rnacentral:rRNA from 1 species
CAAGGGCUAAUCAUGCGCAAAAGAGGUCUAUUUACUUAGGCCUCUGCAUUUGUUAGUCGUGAACCAACAUUUUUUGGUGAAUCAUGACAAACUGCGGAUCCUCAUGUUGCAAUAAACGGAGGACGACUCGGUCAGGUCUUUCCCCUAUCAGUUUUCGUAGGAAAUGUAUUGAAUUUUCUAGACAUUGACGGGUAACGGGGGAUUAGGGUUUGACUCCGGAGAAGGAGCCUGAGAGACGGCUACUACAUCUAAGGAAGGCAGCAGGCGCGCGAAUUUCCCAAUGCUCAUCGAGCGAGGAAGUGACGAUCAAUAACAAUGUGCGACUCUUUGAGUCGUGCAAUUGGAAUGACUACAAUCUAAAAAGUUUAAGGAGGAUCAAUUGGAGGGCAAGUCUGGUGCCAGCAGCCGCGGUAAUUCCAGCUCCAAUAGGAUAUAUCAAAGUUGUUGCAGUUAAAAAGCUCGUAGUUGAACUUCUGACGAGCGUUUUAGCGGUUGCUUUGUCUGGUGCAAACCGGAUGAUCAAUCGCCGCUCGUCAUCUUGUGGGAACACUGUUUCGUAGGCUAGUUUACUCUAGUCUGCGAGACACCCACUCCGUCACUGAGAGCAAAUUGUAGUGCUCAAAGCAGGCCUUAUGGCUUUGAUCACACUAGCUUGGAAUGACAAGAUAAGACUUUUGUUUUAUUUUGUUGGUUAUAAAACGAGAGUAAUGAUUAACAGGAACAGUUGCGGGGGUACUCGUAUUGAAAGGUCAGAGGUGAAAUUCUUGGAUUCUUUCAAGACGAACGACUGCGAAAGCAUUUACCAAGGAUGUUUUCAUUAAUCAAGAACGAAAGCUUGGGGAUCGAAGAUGAUUAGAUACCAUCGUAGUCCAACGCCAUAAACGAUGCCGACUCGGGAUUGACCUCGUUUCGUUUACAGAACGAGGCCAGCACCGUAUGAGAAAUCAAAGUCUUUGGGUUCCGGGGGGAGUAUGGUCGCAAGGCUGAAACUUAAAGGAAUAGACGGAAGGACACACCAGAGGUGGAGCCUGCGGUUUAAUUUGACCCAACACGGGAAACUUACCAGGUCCAGACAUGAAGAGGAUUGACAGUUUGAAAGCACUUUCUUGAUCUUAUGGGUGGUGGUGCAUGGCCGUUCUUAGUUGGUGGAGUGAUUUGUCUGGUUGAUCCCGAUAACGAACGAGACGGGGAAAGCCACUUAGUUGCGGCAUAACUUGCGUUAAGUCCAACUUCUGAGCUUGACAACCUGGUUCUACCAGGGGGAAGCGCCCCGCAAUAACAGGUCUGUGAUGCCCUUAGAUGUUCUGGGCCACACGCGCGCUACAAUGAUGA